GAGCGAAUGGAUUGAGAGCUUGCUCUCAAGAAGUUAGCGGCGGACGGGUGAGUAACACGUGGGUAACCUGCCCAUAAGACUGGGAUAACUCCGGGAAACCGGGGCUAAUACCGGAUAACAUUUUGAACUGCAUGGUUCGAAAUUGAAAGGCGGCUUCGGCUGUCACUUAUGGAUGGACCCGCGUCGCAUUAGCUAGUUGGUGAGGUAACGGCUCACCAAGGCAACGAUGCGUAGCCGACCUGAGAGGGUGAUCGGCCACACUGGGACUGAGACACGGCCCAGACUCCUACGGGAGGCAGCAGUAGGGAAUCUUCCGCAAUGGACGAAAGUCUGACGGAGCAACGCCGCGUGAGUGAUGAAGGCUUUCGGGUCGUAAAACUCUGUUGUUAGGGAAGAACAAGUGCUAGUUGAAUAAGCUGGCACCUUGACGGUACCUAACCAGAAAGCCACGGCUAACUACGUGCCAGCAGCCGCGGUAAUACGUAGGUGGCAAGCGUUAUCCGGAAUUAUUGGGCGUAAAGCGCGCGCAGGUGGUUUCUUAAGUCUGAUGUGAAAGCCCACGGCUCAACCGUGGAGGGUCAUUGGAAACUGGGAGACUUGAGUGCAGAAGAGGAAAGUGGAAUUCCAUGUGUAGCGGUGAAAUGCGUAGAGAUAUGGAGGAACACCAGUGGCGAAGGCGACUUUCUGGUCUGUAACUGACACU
rnacentral:rRNA from 1 species